AACGUCAUAAGGCGGCGCUGCUAAGCUGAAGCUAGUGGUGCAGUUGGAAUGUUGAGAAUGCAGGAGAUAAGAGACCCGCCUGUAACCGAGUAACUUGCCAGUAUAAUGCGACGUUUUAUUCCUGAGUGGGGUCAGGAUAAUAUCCCCACCUGCCUAUACAGUCGUUGCCUAUCGGUAACCCUGGUUUGAGAUCUUGCAAUUCGAAGCUGAACCUUAUCAGAAUGCAUGGCUGUCCAAGAAGAAUAGACAAACGGCAUUCUGUCCUGUUGCCGUACUCCAUGAAUGGAUUACGUACAAAAAAACAGUUGAUGCAGACGUAUAAAAUCAGCCGGUUCUACUUACGUUCUGUUGAGGAGCUGCGUCGGGGUCUUUUUCCUCCUUGCGUUGUUUUUUGCUCCCUGUCUGAGCUACACCCGUGUUUUUUCGCCUUUUUGCUCCUUUUUCUCCCACUUCUUUGCUCAGUGCUGCUCCUGUCGUCGAUUCGUCUCUUCAUCUUGACGGUACCAAUAAGAUCUCAAAUAUUGGACUAAAGUUGGAUUUUCUUCUUUCUUCAAAAGCAACCUCAACGAAAGUUUGUGAAUUUGCUUUCAGCUGCAAAAAUAAAAAUCGCUUUUCCGCA